GGGGCGGUAGCUCAGUGGUUAGAGCAAGGGACUCAUAAUCCCCGGGUCGUGGGUUCGAACCCCACUCGCCCCA
rnacentral:tRNA from 1 species